GUUGGGUGCAAUUUGGCACGCAGUAUCGAAGCUAACGCGUUAAGUUCGCCGCCUGGGGAGUACGGUCGCAAGACUGAAACUCAAAGGAAUUGACGGGGGCCCGCACAAGCGGUGGAGUAUGUGGUUUAAUUCGAUGCAACGCGAAGAACCUUACCUGGCCUUGACAUGUCGAGAACUUUCCAGAGAUGGAUUGGUGCCUUCGGGAACUCGAACACAGGUGCUGCAUGGCUGUCGUCAGCUCGUGUCGUGAGAUGUUGGGUUAAGUCCCGCAACGAGCGCAACCCUUGUCCUUAGUUGCCAGCACGUAAUGGUGGGAACUCUAAGGAGACCGCCGGUGACAAACCGGAGGAAGGUGGGGAUGACGUCAAGUCCUCAGGCCCUUACACG
rnacentral:rRNA from 1 species